AUGCUCUCUGAGGUCAUAGGUGACAGCAGAUCGCCCGGGGCCGACUCCUGCUUCCACACAUCGGGGAAACAGAAAAAUAAUAUAUCAUUUGAAAAGAGUUUUAGUCGAAGCAACAGUUCAACAUUCAGGGGGAAAAAAAAGUUUAUUUGCU